UGACUAUUAUGCUAUGAGUCUCUAACCUGC
rnacentral:piRNA from 1 species